rnacentral:rRNA from 1 species
GACGAACGCUGGCGGCGUGCUUAACACAUGCAAGUCGAACGAUGAAACCUAGCUUGCUAGGUCGAUUAGUGGCGAACGGGUGAGUAACACGUGACUAACCUGCCCCUUUCUCUGGGAUAACGCUCCGAAAGGAGUGCUAAUACCGGAUACUCACACCUAGGCACCUGCCUUGGAGUGGAAAGUUUUUCGGAAAGGGAGGGAGUCGCGGCCUAUCAGCUUGUUGGUGAGGUAACGGCUCACCAAGGCGACGACGGGUAGCCGGCCUGAGAGGGCGACCGGCCACACUGGGACUGAGACACGGCCCAGACUCCUACGGGAGGCAGCAGUGGGGAAUAUUGCACAAUGGGCGCAAGCCUGAUGCAGCGACGCCGCGUGAGGGAUGAAGGUCUUCGGAUUGUAAACCUCUUUCAGUAGGGACGAAGCGAAAGUGACGGUACCUAAAGAAGAAGCACCGGCUAACUACGUGCCAGCAGCCGCCGUAA